CUGUCCGCCAGUGUAAUACUGGCGAAGAAAGGGCCGGGCAAGACCGGUGCCAGCCGCCGCGGUAAUACCGGCGGCUCGAGUGGUGGCCACUAUUACUGGGCUUAAAGCGUUCGUAGCUGGCUUGUUAGGUCUCUGGGGAAAUCUUCCGGCUUAACCGGAAGGCGUCUCAGGGAUACUGGCAGGCUAGGGACCGGAAGAGGUGAGAGGUACUCCAGGGGUAGGAGUGAAAUCCUGUAAUCCUUGGGGGACCACCUGUGGCGAAGGCGUCUCACCAGGACGGCUCCGACAGUGAGGAACGAAAGCUGGGGGAGCAAACCGGAUUAGAUACCCGGGUAGUCCCAGCUGUAAACGAUGCGCGUUAGGUGUAUCGGUG
rnacentral:rRNA from 1 species